GACGAACGCUGGCGGCGUGCCUAAUACAUGCAGGUUGAGCGCUGAAGGUUGGUACUUGUACCAACUGGAUGAGCAGCGAACGGGUGAGUAACGCGUGGGGAAUCUGCCUUUGAGCGGGGGACAACAUUUGGAAACGAAUGCUAAUACCGCAUAAAAACUUUAAACACAAGUUUUAAGUUUGAAAGAUGCAAUUGCAUCACUCAAAGAUGAUCCCGCGUUGUAUUAGCUAGUUGGUGAGGUAAAGGCUCACCAAGGCGAUGAUACAUAGCCGACCUGAGAGGGUGAUCGGCCACAUUGGGACUGAGACACGGCCCAAACUCCUACGGGAGGCAGCAGUAGGGAAUCUUCGGCAAUGGACGAAAGUCUGACCGAGCAACGCCGCGUGAGUGAAGAAGGUUUUCGGAUCGUAAAACUCUGUCGGUAGAGAAGAACGUUGGUGAGAGUGGAAAGCUCAUCAAGUGACGGUAACUACCCAGAAAGGGACGGCUAACUACGUG
rnacentral:rRNA from 1 species